CUCGUCGUCAGCGUGUUGCCGCCGAACGCGAGCGCGCCUUCGAUGUGCGUGUGCGGAUGCGGGACGUGCUGCGGAAUCGUGAUCUUGAGCGCGAGCGACGCGG
rnacentral:tRNA from 1 species